rnacentral:rRNA from 1 species
CCUACGGGAGGCUGCAGUGGGGAAUAUUGCGCAAUGGGGGAAACCCUGAUGCAGCGACGCCGCGUGAGUGAUGAAGUACUUCGGUAUGUAAAGCUCUAUCAGCAGGGAAGAAAAUGACGGUACCUGACUAUGAAGCCCCGGCUAACUACGUGCCAGCAGCCGCGGUAAUACGUAGGGGGCAAGCGUUCUCCGGAGUUACUGGGUGUAAAGGGAGCGUAGACGGUUUAUCAAGUCAGAAGUGAAAACCCACGGCUCAACCUUGGGAGUGCAUUUGAAACUGGGUAGCUAGAGUGCAGGAGAGGAAAGUGGAAUUCCAAGUGUAGCGGUGAAAUGCGCAGAGAUUAGGAGGAACACCAGUGGCGAAGGCGGCUUACUGGACUGUAACUGACGUUGAGGCGCGAAAGCGUGGGGAGCAAACAGGAUUAGAGACCCGAGUAGUC